GUUUAUGGCGGCUGUGCGUGGGGCACCUUCGGGUGCGCCGGUUCCUAUGCCCGGUCUGCGAACCCGCGUACAGCUGCCACCCAU
rfam:Pseudomonas sp. 5 contig5, whole genome shotgun sequence.